UUUAAACUGACCAUGUCGUCGCUGCUGUCGGUGUGGACGUAAACACGCAUUUGACUGUCGCUUCUGGAUUCAAAAUAGAUUCCAAUUUUGGUGGUUAUCGAGUCAAUGCUGAGCUUGAAGCACGACCAAACGUCCGGUUGGCUGGAGAUGCUGCCUCCUUUUGUGAUAGCAAAUUGGGUCGUCAUCGUAUGAAACAUCACCACCAUGCUGUUGUAUCAGGGCGAUUGGCUGGAGAGAAGAAUACUGGCAACGAAAUAUGGAUGAACAUCUGCAGUGCACUGUCACCAAGUGCAUUCUUCGUCGUAUUAUUAGUACGCAAUCGGUUAACUAUAGUGUCGUGCUGCUGUUGGUUGUUGUACCGUUGACUGUUGUACCGUUGACGACUGGGUUGACCUGGUGUACUCAUGUCUCCUGGGUAUGGCGGAUACCGAACCGCAAGUCGCAACGCCGCCGCCUUACUACACAAUAACAGCAUACGCAAUUACCAGUUACUAGACCGCCAAGGCACCAGAGUAUUACACCACACCUUAUGAUGCUCCGAGCUACUACACCGAAGCCAUGAAGUUUAACUCUGCCCCGAGUUACAUCAACGAAGAGGUCAAGUACUACACCGCGGUUUCCAAGUACUACACCACCCAGGUAUUGGAUUGCUACAAGACUACGUAUGGUGUCCCAGCCUACUACACCGAGGCUUCCAAUUUACUACACCACCACCUACGCUACUCCUAGCUACUACACCGAAGUCCCCCAGUACUACACUGAAAAGGCCGAAUAUUACGCAACCGCGUUUGCUGCCACAGUUUACUACACCGAAAAACCAAAGUGUUACUCUGCUCCAUCCAAUA